CCUACGGGGAGCAGCAGUGAGGAAUAUUGGUCAAUGGGCGAGAGCCUGAACCAGCCAAGUCGCGUGAAGGAUGACGGCCCUACGGGUUGUAAACUUCUUUUGUCAGGGAGCAAUUGAGUCCACGUGUGGUCUUAGCGAGAGUACCUGAAGAAAAAGCAUCGGCGAACACCGUGCCUGCAGCCGCGGUAAUACGGAGGAUGCGACCGUUAUCCGGAGUUAUUGGGUUUAAAGGGUGCGUAGGCGGAAUAUCAAGUCAGCGGUAAAAAUUCGGGGCUAAACCCCGUCGUGCCGUUGAAACUGAUGUUCUUGAGUGGGCGAGAAGUAUGCGGAAUGCGUGGGGUAGCGGUGAAAUGCGUAGAUAUCACGCAGAACUCCGAUUGCGAAGGCAGCAUACCGGCGCCCAACUGACGCUGAAGCACGAAAGCGUGGGUAUCGAACAGGAUUAGAUACCCGUGUAGUC
rnacentral:rRNA from 1 species